CAGAGACAACGUUAAAAUCAUAGUGUCAAAUUGUCAAACAAAAUAUUAAUUUAGGACGUUCAAAAUUUAAACCGCUUCGAAACUUUAUAAAUAAACACAAACUAAAAAUUUUUAACCAGCCAUGUCUUACAGUAAAGUUCACAGAUAUUUUUUAAGAACUAUAGCCAGUAGCGGUGUUAUGAGUGUUGAUGAAGCUCAUCGAGUCCUGACUAAAUUUACAGGUGAGCCGAUCUUGUUAAAGAACUGCAUUCAAGAAAUUAAUGAUGUUAUCAGACCAUAUCAGCAGUCAAUCAAAGUAACAUACAAUGAAAGUACAAAUGAAGAAGUAGUUAUAUUCUUAACCCAUGCUUGGGAUUCAAUAUCUGAAUCCCAAAAGAUCUUCACAGCUAAGGAAUUAGACUAUUUCAGAUUAUUAAUUGAAGAAAUAAUGAGUAUAGAUGUAAGAGAAAUCACAGGCAUUCAUGCAAUUAAUUUGGUUAAUAAAAUGGGCCAGAAAAUAUCAAUGCUCCAAGCUGAAAAUUUAUUGGCUAAAUGGUGUAAAAUGUACUACUUAGAGAAGAUACAAAAUAAAUACCGCUUAGGUGUGAGAACCAUAAAUGAAUUUGAAGAUUAUUUUGAGAAAUACAUGCCUGAUGUAAUGAAAGAUUGUUACAUUUGUAAGAAAAAUGUUUUUUGGGGGGCUAACUGCAUAGCAUGUGAAAAAGCUAUUCACACUAGGUGCCUUAAUCAGUACUUAGAAAAAAUAAAAAAAUGGCCUUGUUGUAAACUCGACUUCAGUCCAGAUCAACUGAAACAACUUAACGAAAGCCAGAGAAUGACUCAGAUAACUCAAACCUUUGAAGACACACAGUCAAUUGAAGAAAGGUCGGAGAAUUCAACAGCUUCCAAUGUAGAAAAUGAUAAUACAGAAGAAAUGGAAAGAAGUCAAAAUACAGAUAACAUACGACGUCUCUCUAGAAAGAGGAAGAGAGAAUAAAUUUAUGGUAAAAUUGAUGAGUCAUAGCAAGUGACAAUCUCCUAAGGAACGAUUCCGGAAGCUUCCUAAAUAACAAAGAGCAAUACAGCGGAACGGCGUUCAAAUCGUAACAUAUUUCCAUUUGCAGCGGAGACGGCAACAUUUUCAGCAGUACAGAGAAAUCCUGGCGUGUUUCUUGCAAAAUUGCGUAUGUUUUAUGACGCUUUUCCUCAUCGAUCUCCAGGUAAGCUAUACAUGACACCGUGUUGGUGAUAAUGAAGGUUUAACAUCAACCGUUUUGAAGAUCGCGUUUCAAAUUACGCAACGAGAAUGCGUCGGCGCAGAUUUCGUCACCACGGAAAGCGCGCUGGCCCAUUAAAUUGUUUUAUUAUGAACUCGACGCCAUCUUGUGUAUUUUUGGCUGAAGUUUAAGUGUUUAUCUGGUUGGGACUCUGUCCAAAGAGUAAUUAGUUAGUGUGAUUUUAUUUUCGAUGUCCUCGGGUGGUGAAAACAAACAACGACCGGUCGGCCUUUAUGAUGAAAAGCUAAGACCGUUUUUAUUUUAAGUUCGUCAGUAAACGAAUGUAUUCAUUUAAAAUACAUACUGCACUUAAUUUAAACCGUAUUCGUAAAUUCUAAAGCAGCCCUGAAAUUGACGUAUGCUAUCCAAAUGCCAGAUUACCUCCAUAGCGUUCCUAUAGGUGAAAAGUUGAAUGACCGGAACACCUCUGUCAUCCUGCAUCUCGUGCUCUCGCAACUCUAUCCGUUUCUCGCAUCACUUGCUUCAUUUUUCACAAUCGUAGUCGUUGUUGCUAUUGCUAUUUUUAAUUCCGGCUAAAACAUUAUGAAUGAGUCGCCACAAAAUGACGCUGGACUAUGUUACGCUGUCGCUUGAAAUAAAAUGUCGUUGCGCUACGAGGACGAUCGUGUUUGAAAGUUAAUGAGAAUCGAACGGUCGAGCUUAAUAUAUACAUGAAAAAAUAUCGAGAAAUUUAAUAUUUAUUUUUAUUCGAAUUUGUAUUCGGUGAUUAUUUCCUGUGAUUUGUAUAGUAACGCUUAUUGUUUGUGUGUCUAUUGUUUGAAAAACACGUAAACUAUGUAGUUUAUUCCGUGUUUUACCGCAGCAUCGAUUCGUUUUAUGUAAAUAUAACCUUGUAUGGUAAUGAUUAAAUCUAGAGUAAAUGAAUGCACAAUAAGCCAAGCAUGACUUAGAGGCUUAAAGACAAUUUGCUUGUCAUAAACUUUCCAGUCGGUUUAUCCAUUUUCGAAUUUUAACUCAUAAGUCACUAGGUCUGCUAGCACUGCUAGGACCAUAAUAACGAUUUCAAAGAAGUUAAAAAAAUAUUUUGUUUAAAAGUUAUGAAACAGUGGUGGGUGAACUUAACACAGUAUUGUUCUAUAAUUUAUUUUAAAUACUUAUUGGAAAGACUUGAAAUAACUUGGACAACAAAAAAAAAAACAAAGGUUAUUCGUCAUCUUAAAAUUAUUCAUUCAAAUUUAUAUAUUUUACAUUGCCCACUUAAUUUUUUUAUGGAUUAUUAAUUUAUUCACCAUCGAAAUCUCAGAUUUAAGUAUCUGAUUAUUCAAAAAUGUACCGCUCUUUUGUUAAUUCAUAAAUUGGUUGAUUUUGUUAAACUGGUUUCGAUAAGCGUAUUAAAUUUAAAUUGAUACAAAUAAAAAGUAUUUAAACAAAA